ACGGGGCGCAGCAGGCGCGAAAACUGCACAAUGUGGGCAACCACGAUGCGGGAAACCCAAGUGCCAGCACUAUGUGUUGGCUGUCCUCCAGUGUUCGUAACUGGGGAAGAAAGUGCUGGGUAAGACGGGUGCCAGCCGCCGCGGUAAUACCCGCAGCACAAGUGGUGGUCAUUAUUAUUGGGCCUAAAGCGUCCGUAGCAGGCUUGUUAGAUGCCUGGGUAAAUCGAUGCGCUCAACGCAUCGAAUUCCGGGUAGACCGGCAAGCUCGAGACCGGGAGAGGUGUAGGCUACUCGAGGGGUAGGGGUAAAAUCCUGUAAUCCUUCGGGGAGGACCAGUGGCGAAGGCGCUACACUAGAACGGCUCUGACUGUGAGGGACGAAGCCCUGGGGCGCAAACCGGAUUAGAUACCCGGGUAGUCCAGGGUGUAAACGCUGCAGACUUGGUGUCGGUGAUCCUACGAGGGUUGCCGGUGCCGGAGAGAAGUUGUUGAGUCUGCCGCCUGGGGAGUACGGUCGCAAGACUGAAACUCAAAGGAAUUGACGGA
rnacentral:rRNA from 1 species